rnacentral:rRNA from 1 species
GACGAACGCUGGCGGCGUGCCUAACACAUGCAAGUCGAGCGGUAAGGCCCUUUCGGGGUACGACGAGCGGCGAACGGGUGAGUAACACGUGGGUGACCUGCCCUUAGCUCUGGGAUAAGCCUGGGAAACUGGGUCUAAUACCGGAUAUGACUCCAUGACGCAUGUUGUGGGGUGGAAAGCCUUGUGCGGCUAGGGAUGGGCCCGCGGCCUAUCAGCUUGUUGGUGGGGUGAUGGCCUACCAAGGCGACGACGGGUAGCCGGCCUGAGAGGGCGACCGGCCACACUGGGACUGAGACACGGCCCAGACUCCUACGGGAGGCAGCAGUGGGGAAUCUUGCGCAAUGGGCGAAAGCCUGACGCAGCGACGCCGCGUGGGGAUGACGGCCU